AUUGAACGCUGGCGGCAGGCUUAACACAUGCAAGUCGAGCGGAGAUGAGGUGCUUGCACCUUAUCUUAGCGGCGGACGGGUGAGUAAUGCUUAGGAAUCUGCCUAUUAGUGGGGGACAACAUUCCGAAAGGAAUGCUAAUACCGCAUACGUCCUACGAGAGAAAGCAGGGGAUCUUCGGACCUUGCGCUAAUAGAUGAGCCUAAGUCGGAUUAGCUAGUUGGUGGGGUAAAGGCCUACCAAGGCGACGAUCUGUAGCGGGUCUGAGAGGAUGAUCCGCCACACUGGGACUGAGACACGGCCCAGACUCCUACGGGAGGCAGCAGUGGGGAAUAUUGGACAAUGGGGGGAACCCUGAUCCAGCCAUGCCGCGUGUGUGAAGAAGGCCUUAUGGUUGUAAAGCACUUUAAGCGAGGAGGAGGCUACUGAGACUAAUACCCUUGGAUAGUGGACGUUACUCGCAGAAUAAGCACCGGCUAACUCUGUGCCAGCCGCCGCGGUAACAC
rnacentral:rRNA from 1 species